rnacentral:rRNA from 1 species
UACGUAGGGUGUGAGCGUUGUCCGGAAUUACUGGGCGUAAAGAGCUCGUAGGUGGUUUGUCGCGUUGUCCGUGAAAACUCACAGCUCAACUGUGGGCGUGCGGGCGAUACGGGCAGACUGGAGUACUGCAGGGGAGACUGGAAUUCCUGGUGUAGCGGUGGAAUGCGCAGAUAUCAGGAGGAACACCGGUGGCGAAGGCGGGUCUCUGGGCAGUAACUGACGCUGAGGAGCGAAAGCGUGGGGAGCGAACAGG